AGGGCAACCGCCCAAGAGGCAGCAUCUUCCCCUCAAGGAAGGAAGAUGCUUGGGCAGAAACAUCCAGGAGAUUCUGCGCUCUCUGGUCACAUGGGAAAGAGGCUGUCUCUGCUGCAGAGACUACAUCUGCUCCCAAGUGGAGGAACCUUGAACUUGGGGAGUUCUGCCUUCCAGAUGAAGAUGUGAA